CUGGCGGUAUGCUUAACACAUGCAAGUCGUACGAGAAUUUUUAAUUCUAGUGGCGGACGGGUGAGUAACACGUGAGAAUCUGCCCUUAGGAGAAGGAUAACAGCUGGAAACGGUUGCUAAUACUUCAUAUGCCGCAAGGUGAAAGAAUGUAUUCGCCUAAGGAGGAGCUCGCGUCUGAUUAGCUAGUUGGAGAGGUAAUGGCUCACCAAGGCGACGAUCAGUAGCUGGUUUGAGAGGACGAUCAGCCACACUGGGACUGAGACACGGCCCAGACUCCUACGGGAGGCAGCAGUGGGGAAUUUUCCGCAAUGGGCGAAAGCCUGACGGAGCAAUACCGCGUGAGGGAUGACAGCCUGUGGGUUGUAAACCUCUUUUCUCAAGGAAGAAGUUCUGACGGUACUUGAGGAAUAAGCAUCGGCUAACUCUGUGCCAGCAGCCGCGGUAAUACAGAGGAUGCAAGCGUUAUCCGGAAUCACUGGGCAUAAAGCGUCUGUAGGUGGUUCGGUAAGUCUGUUGUUAAAGACUAGGGCCUAACCCUAGAAAAGCAGUGGAAACUGCCAAACUUGAGUGUGGUAGAGGUAGAGGGAAUUCCUAGUGUAGCGGUGAAAUGCGUAGAUAUUAGGAAGAACACCAAUGGCGAAGGCACUCUACUGGGCCAUAACUGACACUGAGAGACGACAGCUAGGGGAGCAAAUGGGAUUAGAUACCCCAGUAGUCCUAGCCGUAAACGAUGGAUACUAGAUGUUGCACGUAUUAACCCGUGCAGUAUCGUAGCUAAGGCGUUAAGUAUCCCGCCUGGGAAGUACGCUCGCAAGAGUGAACUCAAAGGAAUUGACGGGGGCCC
rnacentral:rRNA from 1 species